GGUAUGAGAUGGGCCCGCAUCUGAUUAGCUAGUUGGUGAGAUAACAGCCCACCAAGGCGACGAUCAGUAGCCGACCUGAGAGGGUGACCGGCCACAUUGGGACUGAGACACGGCCCAAACUCCUACGGGAGGCAGCAGUGGGGAAUAUUGCACAAUGGGGGGAACCCUGAUGCAGCAACGCCGCGUGAAGGAAGACGGUUUUCGGAUUGUAAACUUCUAUCAAUAGGGAAGAAAGAGAUGACGGUACCUAAAUAAGAAGCCCCGGCUAACUAC
rnacentral:rRNA from 1 species